GAUGAACGCUGGCGGCGUGCUUAACACAUGCAAGUCGAACGGUGAAGCCAAGCUUGCUUGGUGGAUCAGUGGCGAACGGGUGAGUAACACGUGAGCAACCUGCCCUGGACUCUGGGAUAAGCGCUGGAAACGGUGUCUAAUACCGGAUAUGAGCUCCUUCCGCAUGGUGGGGGUUGGAAAGAUUUUUCGGUCUGGGAUGGGCUCGCGGCCUAUCAGCUUGUUGGUGAGGUAAUGGCUCACCAAGGCGUCGACGGGGAGCCGGCCUGAGAGGGUGACCGGCCACACUGGGACUGAGACACGGCCCAGACUCCUACGGGAGGCAGCAGUGGGGAAUAUUGCACAAUGGGCGGAAGCCUGAUGCAGCAACGCCGCGUGAGGGAUGACGGCCUUCGGGUUGUAAACCUCUUUUAGCAGGGAAGAAGCUUUUGUGACGGUACCUGCAGAAAAAGCGCCGGCUAACUACGUGCCAGCCGCCGCGGUAA
rnacentral:rRNA from 1 species